rnacentral:piRNA from 1 species
UCUCAACUUACGUGGAUGGUCUUUCC